rnacentral:rRNA from 1 species
AAUCAACGCUGGCGGCGUGCCUCAGACAUGCAAGUCGAACGAUUAAGACUUCCUUCGGGAAGUGCAUAAAGUGGCGCACGGGUGAGUAACACGUAAGUAAUCUACCCUCGAGUGGGGAAUAACGUUCGGAAACGGACGCUAAUACCGCAUAACGCAGUCGGCACCGCAAGGUGACAGUUGUUAAAGGAGCAAUUCCGCUUGAGGAGGAGCUUGCGGCAGAUUAGGCUAGUUGGUAAGGUAAUGGCUUACCAAGGCUACGAUCUGUAACCGGUCUUAGAGGACGGUCGGUCACACUGACACUGAAUAACGGGUCAGACUCCUACGGGAGGCAGCAGUCGGGAAUUUUGGGCAAUGGGCGAAAGCCUGACCCAGCAACGCCGCGUGAAGGAUGAAGUAUUUCGGUAUGUAAACUUCGAAAGAAUAGGAAGAAUAAAUGACGGUACUAUUUAUAAGGUCCGGCUAACUACGUG